rnacentral:rRNA from 1 species
UGGGGAAUAUUGCACAAUGGGGGGAAACCCUGAUGCAGCGACGCCGCGUGAGUGAAGAAGUAUUUCGGUAUGUAAAGCUCUAUUCAGCAGGGAAGAAAGUGACGGUACCUGACUAAGAAGCCCCGGCUAACUACGUGCC